AUUGAACGCUGGCGGCAGGCUUAACACAUGCAAGUCGAGCGGAGAGAAGUAGCUUGCUACUGAUCUUAGCGGCGGACGGGUGAGUAAUGCUUAGGAAUCUGCCUAUUAGUGGGGGACAACAUUUCGAAAGGAAUGCUAAUACCGCAUACGUCCUACGGGAGAAAGCAGGGGAUCUUCGGACCUUGCGCUAAUAGAUGAGCCUAAGUCGGAUUAGCUAGUUGGUGGGGUAAAGGCCUACCAAGGCGACGAUCUGUAGCGGGUCUGAGAGGAUGAUCCGCCACACUGGGACUGAGACACGGACCAGACUCCUACGGGAGGCAGCAGUGGGGAAUAUUGGACAAUGGGCGGAAGCCUGAUCCAGCCAUGCCGCGUGUGUGAAGAAGGCCUUAUGGUUGUAAAGCACUUUAAGCGAGGAGGAGGCUACUUUAGUUAAUACCUAGAGAUAGUGGACGUUACUCGCAGAAUAAGCACCGGCUAACUCUGUGCCAGCCGCCGCGGUAAAAC
rnacentral:rRNA from 1 species